rnacentral:lncRNA from 1 species
UUCCAACCACCCUUAUAUGAGCCUGCUCCAAAACCUUGCCAGCCAGCACUUCCAGGUUACGACUAUUGACCUCCAGCUCCCAGUUUCAGAGAGUUCUCCCAGUCUCCUGGAUCACACUGGUCUGAAAGCUGUUUGGUAGACAACCUUCGAGUCUUUCUGCCUUCAUACUGAUAUAUUGUCCAUGAGAUCUUGUCCUGUGAAGUCUUUCCUGGCACAUAGUUACGCAUGCUGUUGCUGACUGUUGACACAUACCAUCGGCUAAGAGCAGUGGCUGGCUUUGAAACAGCUCCACCUUCCCUGAAUACUCUUUCAGCGUCUCUGACGUCUAGGCCAAGUUUGUGUACUUAGCUCCAUGACAGCAUCAAGAUACAAACAACAAGAACUGAUGGAUUUCAGUACAUCUUCUGGGGCUCCUGCCUGUGGGAUACAGCUUGUCUUUGAUGUCUUACCCUCUACAUCCAUGUCUCCUUCCUGUCUGUGCUGUGGACUUCAAACUCCAGCAUCAGACAUGAAGACAACAUCCUGCAGAGAUUGCUUUAAGCAGCUCCCACAGUUAUAACAACAUCAUGGCCCUAUAGCAAAUAUCAUAAAAAUUUUUCCACACCUAUAUUCACAAACAUAAAAUCUUUUAUUGGUUCUGUUUCUCAGUUGAAUCAUGACUGAUACAAUAUGAGAAGCAGUAUAUUAUUAUUUAUAGGUAAGGUGUCAUUAAUUACAGAUGCAUGGGUCAGGCAUAGUGGCUCAUCCCUGUAAUCCAAGCACUUUGAGAUACCAAGGUAGGAGGAUCCCUUGAGGCCA